CGGGUGAGUAACGCGUGAGUAACCUGCCUUACACAAGGGGAUAGCCUUCGGAAACGAAGAAUAAUACCCUAUAAAACUAUAAAAGCACAUGCUAGAAUGGUCAAAGUGCUAGCGGUGUAAGAUGGACUUGCGUCUGAUUAGCUAGUUGGUGAGAUAAAAGCUCACCAAGGCAACGAUCAGUAGCCGGCUUGAGAGAGUGUACGGCCACAUUGGGACUGAGACACGGCCCAG
rnacentral:rRNA from 1 species